AUCUUUGAACGCACCUUGCGCUCCAUGGUAUUCCGUGGAGCAUGCCUGUUUGAGUGUCAUGAAUACUUCAACCCUCCUCUUUUCUAGUGAAAGAGAAGGUGCUUGGUUUCUGAGCGUUUUGCUGGCCUCACGGUCGAGCUCGCUCGUAAUGCAUUAGCAUCCGCAAUCGAACUUCGGAUUGACUUGGCGUAAUAGACUAUUCGCUGAGGAAUUCUAAUCUUCGGAUUAGAGCCGGGUUAGGUUAAAGGAAGCUUCUAAUCCUAAUGUCUAUAUUUUAAGAUUAGAUCUCAAAUCAGGUAGGACUACCCGCUGAACUUAAGCAUAUCA
rnacentral:rRNA from 1 species